rnacentral:rRNA from 1 species
GACGAACGCUGGCGGCGUGCUUAACACAUGCAAGUCGAACGGUAAGGCCCCGCUUGGGGUGGGCGAGUGGCGGACGGGUGAGUAACUCACAGGUAAGUGACCUGCCGCUGGGGUUGAAUCCUCGUAAGCUAAGUGGAAUACCUAACCGAAACUCGUUCCGCAUGGUGGGGGGGGGUGGGUUAGUUUGUGCGGGGUGGGCUCGGUGCGCGGCAGAUCGGCGUGUGGGUGGGGUACUGGCUUACCAAGGCGUGGACGGGGAGCCGGCCUGAGAGGGUGACCGGCCACAUUGGGACUGAGAGACGGCCCAGACUCCUACGGGAGGCAGCAGUGGGGAAUAUUGCCCAAUGGGCGCAAGCCUGAUGCAGCGACGCCGCGUGGGGGAUGACGGUCUUCGGGUUGUAAACCGCUUUCGGUUGGGACGAAGCGCGAGUGACGGUACCGGGAGAAGAAGCACCGGCUAACUACGUG